CUCUCAUGGUGCCCUGCCAAUGAGUAGACUGGGGACACACACAGCAGGAACCUUUUACUCAACUGACCAACAAGACUUCCCAUACCAUACAACAAUGUGCUCAUCAUUACAAAAGGGAGAAAGAAUAAAAAAAAUGGACACUGAACGAAUUGUUGCUCUUCAUUGGCAGAAGAUAGCAAGAUGUUGAGACAUCUCUUCUGAUAAGGAUCCUGAAGAAUUAUAUAAACAACAAAUGAAAGCAGAAACAUAAAACAGCAGAAAUAACCCCCCCAUUUCUCAACCUGUCAGCUACAUUAAAAAAGCCCCAUUAAAGCAGAGUAAGUGGCAUACACAAGGGCAGCUGCUGCUACAGGAAAACUUCAUUGAAAAUAUACGGUGGUCUUGUAUGAAGAAGAGGACUGGACAAGUUGUUCCCCUAAAAUCUUUUCCAACCUCUGACAAGCUGCUGUUCUGCAAUUCUGCUGGCUUACCCUUUCAUCAAAAUUAAUUAAAAAAAAAAAAAAGGCAAAAUACAAAGAAAAAGUGAAGAAAAAAGAAAUAUGGAUGUUAGUGCCCAACUGCAAGCAGUGAACUAAAAAAACAAAAUGCCUUGUAAUUUGGCUUCUCAGCAGAUUCUGAUACUGUACCCAUUAGAACUGGAUGUUCAGAAAGGCUGUCACUCUACAGUGCCAAUGCAUUGUAAAAAAGAAGGGUAAUUUGAAGUCGAUCAGCCACCACUUUUCAGCAAAGAAAUCAGAUCUGCCUUUUUUGACAUUCUAUCCUAAAGAAAGUUCGCCAGCAUUAUAGUAGAAGAUUUGAGAGAUGUGUGAAUUCUCAGAUGGGAAAUGAUAUUAUACUUUUUAAACAAAACAAAAUAUUCACAAAUACUAACUGUCUGCAGAUUUGGAUGGUUAAACAAAAAGAGAAAUAUUCCAUUUAACUAUUAGGCUGCACUGUUCAUCUUUGUAAGAUAAUGCUGAUAAAAUUUUCACAGAUCUCAUGCAUUAAGAAGAACUAUUUGACUUCAGUAUCAUACUAGCUGAUUUCCAUGGGAAAACCUUUUACAUAGAGCAUGGUUUUGUUUUCAGAGUAAUUCAUUAUGAUUGUUAUUGUUGCUGUUAUCAUUAUUAACUUGUGCCUGAAUUUCUGCCACUCUGCCUUCUAUAUGCCUAA